rnacentral:snoRNA from 1 species
GAGUCCAUCCUAAUUCCCACAGGGGCAUGUUGGUACCUGCUGGGUUUCGCUGAUGGACCACAUUAAUAUUGGGAAACCCUCUUAAAAACAGUCACUUGCUGUCUGUUCAUAUAGAGGAUGUUCUCAACAAUU